CGAAAUUCUCGCUGGUGUCUGCAUGGCGCGACCGUGUCUGGUGCCGCAGGGAAGCCGUGAAGCGAGCCACCUGGGAAGUACGGCCGCAAGGCUGAUACUUAAAGGAAUUGGCGGGGGAGCACAACAACGGGUGGAGCCUGCGGUUUAAUUGGACUCAACGCCGGACAACUCACCGGGGACGACAGCAAAAUGUAGGCCAGGCUGAAGACCUUGCCUGAAUCGCUGAGAGGAGGUGCAUGGCCUC
rnacentral:rRNA from 1 species